rnacentral:sRNA from 1 species
UCGACCACGACCACUGCCGAGAAUGGGCC